rnacentral:tRNA from 1 species
UGCCGGUGUGGCGGAAUUGGCAGACGCGCGGGACUCAAAAUCCCGUGUCCCUUGGGACGUGUCGGUUCGACCCCGACCACCGGUAUC